CGACGGUACCUGCAGAAGAAGCUCCGGCUAACUACGUGCCAGCAGCCGCGGUAAUACGUAGGGGGCGAGCGUUAUCCGGAUUCAUUGGGCGUAAAGCGCGCGUAGGCGGCCGCCUAAGCGGAACCUCUAACCCCGGGGCUCAACCUCGGGCCGGGUUCCGGACUGGGCGGCUCGAGUGCGGUAGAGGAGAGCGGAAUUCCCGGUGUAGCGGUGGAAUGCGCAGAUAUCGGGAAGAACACCGAUGGCGAAGGCAGCUCUCUGGGCCGUCACUGACGCUGAGGCGCGAAAGCUGGGGGAGCGAACAGGAUUAGAUACCCUGGUAGUCCCAGCCGUAAACGAUGGACGCUAGGUGUGGGGGGACCUGCCCUCCGUGCCGCAGCCAACGCAUUAAGCGUCCCGCCUGGGGAGUACGGCCGCAAGGCUA
rnacentral:rRNA from 1 species